rnacentral:rRNA from 1 species
AUUGAACGCUGGCGGCAGGCCUAACACAUGCAAGUCGAGCGGAUGAAGGGAGCUUGCUCCCGGAUUCAGCGGCGGACGGGUGAGUAAUGCCUAGGAAUCUGCCUGGUAGUGGGGGAUAACGUCCGGAAACGGGCGCUAAUACCGCAUACGUCCUGAGGGAGAAAGUGGGGGAUCUUCGGACCUCACGCUAUCAGAUGAGCCUACGUCGGAUUAGCUAGUUGGUGGGGUAAAGGCCUACCAAGGCGACGAUCCGUAACUGGUCUGAGAGGAUGAUCAGUCACACUGGAACUGAGACACGGUCCAGACUCCUACGGGAGGCAGCAGUGGGGAAUAUUGGACAAUGGGCGAAAGCCUGAUCCAGCCAUGCCGCGUGUGUGAAGAAGGUCUUCGGAUUGUAAAGCACUUUAAGUUGGGAGGAAGGGCAGUAAGUUAAUACCUUGCUGUUUUGACGGUACCAACAGAAUAAGCACCGGCUAACUUCGUG